rnacentral:rRNA from 1 species
UACGGAAGGCAGCAGUGGGGAAUAUUGCACAAUGGGCGCAAGCCUGAUGCAGCCAUGCCGCGUGUAUGAAGAAGGCCUUCGGGUUGUAAAGUACUUUCAGUCGUGAGGAAGGUGUUAAGGUUAAUAACCUUAGCAAUUGACGUUAGCGACAGAAGAAGCACCGGCUAACUCCGUGCCAGCAGCCGCGGUAAUACGGAGGGUGCGAGCGUUAAUCGGAAUUACUGGGCGUAAGGGCACGCAGGCGGUUAAUUAAGUUGGAUGUGAAAUCCCCGGGCUUAACCUGGGAAUGGCAUUCAAGACUGGUUAGCUAGAGUCUUGUAGAGGGGGUAGGAAUUCCAUGUGUAGCGGUGAAAUGCGUAGAGAUGUGGAGGAAUACCGGUGGCGAAGGCGGCCCCUGGACAAGACUGACGCUCAUGUGCGAAAGCGUGGGGAGCAAACAGGGAUUAGAUACC